rnacentral:rRNA from 1 species
AGAAUCAACGCUGGCGGCGUGCCUAACACAUGCAAGUCGAACGAGAAAGUGGAGCAAUCCAUGAGUAAAGUGGCGCACGGGUGAGUAACACGUGACUAACCUACCCUUGAGUGGGGGAUAACCUAGAGAAAUCUUAGCUAAUACCGCAUAAUACCCACGGGUCAAAGCAGCAAUGCGCUUGGAGAGGAGUUCGCGGCCGAUUAGUUAGUUGGCGGGGUAAUGGCCCACAAGACGAUGAUCGGUAU